rnacentral:rRNA from 1 species
AAGCUCGUAGUUGAAUUUCGGGAUCAGACUGUCGGUCGUGCCUCGGUACGCACUGGCAUUAUUGGUUCCUACCUUCUGAAGAACCGCGAUGUCAUUAAUUUGGUGUCGCGGGGAAUCAGGACUGUUACUUUGAAAAAAUUAGAGUGUUUAAAGCAGGCUUACGCUUGAAUACAUUAGCAUGGAAUAAUGAAAUAGGACGUUUGAUUCUAUUUUGUUAGUUUCUAGGAUCGACGUAAUGAUUAAUAGGGAUAGUUGGG